AUUGAACGCUGGCGGCAGGCCUACACAUGCAAGUCGAGCGGUAGCACAGAGAGCUUGCUCUCGGGUGACGAGCGGCGGACGGGUGAGUAAUGUCUGGGAAACUGCCUGAUGGAGGGGGAUAACUACUGGAAACAGUAGCUAAUACCGCAUAAUGUCGCAAGACCAAAGUGGGGGACCUUCGGGCCUCAUGCCAUCAGAUGUGCCCAGAUGGGAUUAGCUGGUAGGUGGGGUAACGGCUCACCUAGGCGACGAUCCCUAGCUGGUCUGAGAGGAUGACCAGCCACACUGGAACUGAGACACGGUCCAGACUCCUACGGGAGGCAGCAGUGGGGAAUAUUGCACAAUGGGCGCAAGCCUGAUGCAGCCAUGCCGCGUGUGUGAGGAAGGCCUUCGGGUUGUAAAGCACUUUCAGCGGGGAGGAAGGCGGUGAGGUUAAUAACCUCAUCGAUUGACGUUACCCGCAGAAGAAGCACCGGCUAACUCCGUGCCAGCCGCCGCCGUAACAC
rnacentral:rRNA from 1 species